GGAGCUCGCAUGUCACUUGCCUCCCGUGACCCCGUUUUGCAGUUGUUAUAGCAGUGCAACACCAACAGCCGUGCCUUCUUACAAGCGAUCAGAGCACGCAGGAAGCAGAAUUUAACAGUUAUGAGUCAACACAAACAGCAGCCAGAUGGAGGAAGGUGUUCAGGAGGGACAUAUGCCUCCCCGCCAUUAUAGUUUUUUCACAACAGCUAUGCCAUCCCUGUAUUUUGUUUUUCUUGUAACCCGGUUACAACAAUUAUCGGUUAUAACAAUAGAAUUUUCGUGCCAUUUCAAUAUUGUUUGAGUGGGUUCGACUGUAUAGCAAUGCUGACAUUCCAGUAUUUGCUACAUUAGCAAGUUUCAGUCAUUGUACUGCACAUUAUGAAGUAUGCUUUAUCAAAAGUUCGAAUGAACCAUUAUUUAGAGCGAGGGCCACCACUGCAAGCGUUCGCGCGCAAUCGUUCUUGUGUUGAAAGUGGGAUCACAUGAUAUCGCUUCGCUGCGGUGAUUAUAUCUCACGAUUUAGGAGGUUUACAUUUUGAUUGUUCAUAAAUGAUGCCCCUUGUCAUUAAAUAGAGCUGACUGCCAUAUUAGAACAGGACUAAGUUGCUUGGGGCCUUCUGGAUGCUUCUUAGUACGCUCAUCGAUAAAUAUAUCGAGCCAAGGCCAGGAUUCGUUAUUGUUUCGGUCAAAUUGUUUAUUUAGAAUAUAGCGACAAGACCUGUUCUAUGAAAAAGUAAACUGGCCAGAUUUUUUUAACAGUCUGAACGGGUUAAAAAUCCCCUCUGAAUUCAGACAUCAGUAAGCUAACUUGUUUACAAAGAUUGUUAGCGUCCAAGGUGCAGCCAGUUGGCAAUAAUGUUUGCCAUAGUUAAAAGUAUAUGACUUACUUCAUCAGCAGCGCAAAUAAAGGUGGCCUUGAAUACUACUAUGUAGAUAAUACAAACAGGAGACGUAAAUUUUACAUUAAAAAAAAUGCUGGCUCUCCCGUAGUCGAGAGUACAUGUAAGCAUGAAAUGACUACUAUAUGGCGUCUUUUGCUGCCUGUCUUGCUGUCUGUCAUAUGGAGUCUUUUGCACCGCCUUUAAUCACUUUUCUUCUCCCAACAGUGCAGCGCGCUCAGUGUCUGCUGCUACUUUUCUUGUCACGGACCGCUCACGACUUAUGGCAUUCAAAAGAGCCCAGGCAACCUCUCUAUUUGCCUUUUGAACAUCGCUAUUGAAAAUGACAAAACUUCAGUGUACUAGAAGUUACAGCUUGAGUGAUAUUGUGAACAAACAUUAGGAAGGAAGAAAUCGGAAGCAAUAUUUUUUGUAACUUAUUUGGGGAGUAUCUAGCGUAUGUAAUGCGGUCCUGUAAAAGGGUUGGGGGCCAGAAACCUCAUUUUUCUGGCCCCCAACCCUUUUGACUGGUUGCCUGGAUGAUCUCGUUUGAGUGCCUGGAUGAUCGCGUUUAGAUAACGGCUCUGGUUUUUGGCUCAAGGUCACUUUGAAGGUCGUCGACAACGGGAGCUAAAUGCAUUUAAUGCUUGGAAAUCUAUGAGCACUCCCCACCUCACCUCGCAGUCAUGCACUUUUUUUUUUCUUUGGUUCUCUUUGGGUGUCUGCUAUGCUAAAAACAAAUUUACAGCAAGGUCCGUAGUCUUAUCGUGCACUGGGGUGAAUGGCGAAUGAAACACGACUAUGCAGCACGAUACUCUUCUUUCAAAGCUUAAUGAAGGCACGUGCUGAUCCCGAAGGCCUUGCAUUGUAAGAGCGAUAAAAUUUUAAGAAGUCGCUACUUGCAGCAUAACAGAAUGCCGAUACUGGAGCCGCAUUUCAUGGCACGCAGAUGGCCAAAGAGAAUGAUCUGACUGAAUGAUUCAAUAGAAGCGUGUGCACACGUCCGCGAGAAAGAAAAAAAAUAUAUAUACCAAACAUUUACAACAAGAGCUCUUCACAUGUUUAAACCAACUAAAUGCCGUAGAUUUAGGGGGUAUGUCAUUGUGCCAUGCACAUGACUAGCUGCAUUAGUCGCGAAUAUCUCGCUUCACAUAUUCGACUGAUUUACUAUUCCGAAUGGAACUGAUUAUUUUCUACAUAUAUAUGCAUGCUUUAAAAUUUAGCUGCCACAAUUUAACAACCAUUUAGCUUCAGUAUAAGCUACCGUGCUUUCUAUUUCUGCAAUAGCACAGAGCGAAAUCCACUUUAGAUGUACUAUUAGGAGCAGUUUCAGAAUUGUGAUAUCGCUUUUCAUUGCUGAGUUAGAGUUGUAAACUUGAUAGUUAUUUUCUGGAAGUUUGCGAUUUUUGCCAAUUUAUUAAAAACUUGAUGAGCUAGACAAAAAAUUUCCAACUGGCAGUCACUGGAUUUUAGCUUCUUUUAAAUGCAACAAACCUCAAAUUUGGUGCAUUGGCUGCCGAGAAAAACGAUUUCUCCUUUCCCAUGUAUUUAGAUAGGAGCCCCAAGCUAAAGCUUCCUCUUGAGGGGGGGGACUGUGCACGUCAAAUUAUUUUUUAUUUCUGGUUAAAAUUUGAUGAAACUUGCUGAACCGAUGUACUUCAAUGUGCUAAUUGAAGAUAUACAUUCGGUUUUAUUUCAGAGUAAAUAAUGUUUCAGAAAAUUCAGACUCUUGCACAACUUGCUUGGGGGUGAGCAAUUUACUAAACUAUAUAUGGCGUAAUAAAGAUUGGCAUACAAAAAUGAUCUGGAACCAACAAAGAGUGUAAAACAGCAAGAACAGUGUUCUAGGCCAAUUUUAUAUCAAGUGAGAGCAAACCUUUAUCCAUGGCAAACUUUUAAAGUAUAUGAACCCAUAGCACCCAGGGCAAAUUACUACUUAGAGAAUUUCUGUAAUAUUUGUUUUAGUAUAGGCCUAUUGCACUCCAAAUGCCUACCUUUCUGAAAAAAAAAAAAUAAUUGUGUUGAUAGGACACGUAGAACCAGAGAUAUCAUUGCUCCAAAACUGACACCAAAA